GAUCUGCUCCCGCCGCCGCCGCCGCCGCCGUCGUCUUUCUCUGUCUCGGCUGAGGCAGCCAUCUUUCUCUUGCCGCGUGCUGGUGUUGGAGGACCCUCCCUGCUUCAGGGUACAGCUCGCAGAAAGAAGAAGGUAGUACAUAGAACAGCCACAGCUGAUGACAAAAAGCUUCAGAGUUCUCUAAAAAAACUGGCUGUGAAUAAUAUAGCUGGUAUUGAAGAGAUGGAGUCUCGCUCUGUCACCCUAACUGGAAUGCAAUGGCACGAUUUUGGCUCACUGCAACCUCUGCCUCCCGGGUUCAGACGGUUCUCCUGCCUCAGCCUCCCAAGUAGCUGGGACUACAGUCUUGGACAGUAAAGCACCAAAACCAGAAGACAUUGAUGAGGAAGAUGAUGAUGUUCCAGAUCUUGUAGAAAAUUUUGAUGAGGCAUCAAAGAAUGAAGCUAACUAAAAGUUUGGUUUUUGGAAGCUGGCAUGGACUAGAUUUAACAAAUCAGCUAUGUGGUUCCAAAGUUUUACAGACACGGAGAACAUCACCUGUUACUAGUUCAGUAAUAUAAAUAUUUU
rnacentral:sRNA from 1 species